UACGAAGGGGGCUAGCGUUGCUCGGAAUCACUGGGCGUAAAGCGCACGUAGGCGGCUUUUUAAGUCAGGGGUGAAAUCCUGGAGCUCAACUCCAGAACUGCCUUUGAUACUGGGAAGCUCGAGUCCGGGAGAGGUGAGUGGAACUCCGAGUGUAGAGGUGAAAUUCGUAGAUAUUCGCAAGAACACCAGUGGCGAAGGCGGCUCACUGGUCCGGUACUGACGCUGAGGUGCGAAAGCGUGGGGAGCAAACAGGG
rnacentral:rRNA from 1 species